UAGGGAAUAUUGGUAAUGUGCGAAAGCGCGAACCAGCAACGCCGCGUGCACGAUGAAGGCCUUCGGGUCGUAAAGUGCUUUUAGAGAGGAUGAGGAAGGACAGUACUUUCUGAAUAAGCCUCGGCUAACUACGUGCCAGCAGCCGCGGUAAAACGUAGGAGGCUAGCGUUAUCCGGAUUUACUGGGCGUAAAGCGCAUGCAGGUGGUUUUGUAAGUUGGAUGUGAAAGCUCCUGGCUUAACUGGGAGAGGUCGUUCAAAACUACAAGACUUGAGAUUGGUAGAGGAAAAUGGAAUUCCGGGUGUAGUGGUGAAAUGCGUAGAUAUCCGGAGGAACACCAGUGGCGAAAGCGGUUUUCUGGACCAAUUCUGACACUCAGAUGCGAAAGCUAAGGUAGCAA
rnacentral:rRNA from 1 species